GAUGAACGCUGGCGGCGUGCCUAAUACAUGCAAGUCGAGCGAACAGACGAGGAGCUUGCUCCUCUGACGUUAGCGGCGGACGGGUGAGUAACACGUGGAUAACCUACCUAUAAGACUGGGAUAACUUCGGGAAACCGGAGCUAAUACCGGAUAAUAUAUUGAACCGCAUGGUUCAAUAGUGAAAGACGGUUUUGCUGUCACUUAUAGAUGGAUCCGCGCCGCAUUAGCUAGUUGGUAAGGUAACGGCUUACCAAGGCAACGAUGCGUAGCCGACCUGAGAGGGGGGUCGGCCACACGGGAACUGGGACACGGUCCAGGCUCCUACGGGAGGGAGCAGUAGGGAAUCUUCCGCAAUGGGCGGAAGCCUGGCGGAGCAACGCCGCGUGAGUGAUGGAAGUCUUCGGAUCGGAAAACUCUGUUAUUAGGGAAGAACAAAUGUGUAAGUAACUAUGCACGUCUUGACGGUACCUAAUCAGAAAGCCACGGCUAACUACGUG
rnacentral:rRNA from 1 species